AGGCGGCUGCACCUCCCGGGGCCGGUUCUGAGUUCCGAGGGUGACCCAGCCACCCCACCCCGAGCCUGGGAGCGAGGGAUUCGCUGCCGCCGCGGCUGGGGCGCCCGUCGGAUCGAAGCCCGGGGAAGGGCACAGGCACUGCCGGGAACCUCCGCGAACUGGAUGAGAAUCCAUCUUCCACUGGCGCUGGGAAUCAUAGACUUUGCAAAGAGAUAUUAUGUAAUGGAGUCUCGAGACGUCUCUCCAGCGAAGCUGCUGGUGAAUUAAUUAGGCCGAAUACUGGAUUAUUACAAGUCUUGACAGGACACUAAGCCCGGAAACCUCAUUCAUCAUUCAAGUCAUCUGAUACUGCCGCUUUCUUUCCCGGUCUCUAGGACUAAAUUGAUGGGUGGUGUGGUGUGGUGGUGUGUUUCAAUUUGUUUGAUUUCUCAUUUAUGAUGAGUGUAUCAAUAAAGAUGUGUGGUAAAUAUC